rnacentral:rRNA from 1 species
UACGGGGGGAGCAAGCGUUGUUCGGAUUUACUGGGCGUAAAGGGCGCGUAGGCGGCCACCGCAAGUCGAUUGUGAAAUCUCCGGGCUUAACCCGGAAAGGUCAACCGAUACUGCGGGGCUAGAGUGCAGAAGGGGCAACUGGAAUUCUCGGUGUAGCGGUGAAAUGCGUAGAUAUCGAGAGGAACACCUGCGGCGAAGGCGGGUUGCUGGGCUGACACUGACGCUGAAGUGCGAAAGCGUGGGGAGCAAACAGG